rnacentral:tRNA from 1 species
GCCACCGUAGCUCAAUUGGCAGAGCAUCCGACUUGUAAUCGGAAGGUUGUGAGUUCAAGUCUCACCGGUGGCUCCA